AUACAUAGGGGGCAAGCGUUAUCCGGAAUUAUUGGGCGUAAAGAGUGCGUAGGCGGUUGAUUAAGUCUGGUGUAAAAUCCCACAGCUUAACUGUGGAGGGUCAUUGGAAACUGGUCGACUAGAGUACGGUAGAGGUAAGCGGAAUUCCAAGUGGAGCGGUAAAAUGCGUAGAUAUUUGGAGGAACACCGGUGGCGAAGGCGACUUACUGGGCCGGAACUGACGCUGAUGCACGAAAGCGUGGGGAGCAAACAGGAUUAGAUACCCUGGUAGUCCACGCCGUAAACUAUGAGCACUAAGUGUCGGAGUAAAAUUCGGUGCUGCAGUUAACACAAUAAGUGCUCCGCCUGGGGAGUACGGUCGCAAGACUGAA
rnacentral:rRNA from 1 species